GACGUGGCCAAGCUAUCAAAAAACUGCAGCCUGUGGAGAAGUAGCAAGUAGGAGGGAGGUCAGGAGUGGGUGGCUAAAACCACCACAAGAUUUGAGAACGCAGAUGUAUUUAACUGGAAGGAGAAAAGGAAAGCACAGAGGUACCUGUCUGUUGUCUGAUUUGUGGGUAAGAAAAGUCCAUCAUGUGGAAACUGGACAGAGGCCUUAAGCAGAGAAGGAUCUUAAGAAGAACUGCAACAGUGACCUGGCUGGGUCUUUAAGGGGGAAAUCACCCUAUCCAAUGGGUACAAUACAUUCCGGUGAUUAAAAAUACAUUCCAUUUCCUCUACGUGCAAAUUCAAUCUGUCGAACUGGAUGACAGCACCAUAAAGCCGCUGAAAUUCUGAAACCCAACCUGCUAAACAUCCUGAACAGACAUUCUCCAAAGAAAACUGAAGAAAAAUGAAUUGGAGCUGCAAGACGUUCUUGUUGAAUUCUCAAGUUUGAUUCAGUUACUUGAUCUCCUUGAAUUCCAGAAGAGACCACCUGAUCUGGGAUCUUCCAGAUUGUCACAGACAGGUUCCCAACCUUCUUGGCAACAAUCAGAUAAUGGGUAAGGGGAGCUUAAGGUUGGGGGAAGCUGAGAGGAGGAUGCUGAUGGGUUAAAUUUCAGGUUCCCA
rnacentral:lncRNA from 1 species